UAGGGAAUCUUCGGCAAUGGGGGCAACCCUGACCGAGCAACGCCGCGUGAGUGAAGAAGGUUUUCGGAUCGUAAAGCUCUGUUGUAAGUCAAGAACGGGUGUGAGAGUGGAAAGUUCACACUGUGACGGUAGCUUACCAGAAAGGGACGGCUAACUACGUGCCAGCAGCCGCGGUAAUACGUAGGUCCCGAGCGUUGUCCGGAUUUAUUGGGCGUAAAGCGAGCGCAGGCGGUUUGAUAAGUCUGAAGUUAAAGGCUGUGGCUCAACCAUAGUUCGCUUUGGAAACUGUCAAACUUGAGUGCAGAAGGGGAGAGUGGAAUUCCAUGUGUAGCGGUGAAAUGCGUAGAUAUAUGGAGGAACACCGGUGGCGAAAGCGGCUCUCUGGUCUGUAACUGGCGCUGAGGCUCGAAAGCGUGGGGAGCGAACAGGAUUAGAUACCCUGGUAGUCCACGCCGUAAACGAUGAGUGCUAGGUGUUGGAUCCUUUCCGGGAUUCAGUGCCGCAGCUAACGCAUUAAGCACUCCGCCUGGGGAGUACGACCGCAAGGUUGAAACUCUAAAGUGAAUUGAC
rnacentral:rRNA from 1 species